rnacentral:rRNA from 1 species
UACGAAGGGGGCUAGCGUUGCUCGGAAUCACUGGGCGUAAAGCGCGUGUAGGCGGCUCGGUAAGUGGGUCGUGAAAGCGCCCGGCUAAACUGGGCGAGGACGAUCGAGACUGCCAGGCUAGAGGGUGGUAGAGGGACAGGGAAUUCCGGGUGUAGCGGUGAAAUGUGUAGAGAUCCGGAGGAACACCAGUGGCGAAGGCGCUGUCCUGGGCCACCUCUGACGCUGAUACGCGAAGGCGUGGGGAGCGAACGGG